UACGUAGGGUGCAAGCGCUAAUCGGAAUUACUGGGCGUAAAGCGUGCGCAGGCGGUUUUGUAAGUCUGACGUGAAAUCCCCGGGCUCAACCUGGGAAUUGCGUUGGAGACUGCAAGGCUAGAAUCUGGCAGAGGGGGGUAGAAUUCCACGUGUAGCAGUGAAAUGCGUAGAGAUGUGGAGGAACACCGAUGGCGAAGGCAGCCCCCUGGGUCAAGAUUGACGCUCAUGCACGAAAGCGUGGGGAGCGAACAGG
rnacentral:rRNA from 1 species